UACAGAGGUCCCAAGCGUUGUCCGGAUUUAUUGGGCGUAAAGAGCUUGUAGGCGGCUCGUCGCGUCGGGUGUGAAAACUUGCGGCUUAACCGCAAGCCUGCACCCGAUACGGGCGGGCUAGAGUUCGGCAGGGGAGACUGGAAUUCCUGGUGUAGCGGUGGAAUGCGCAGAUAUCAGGAGGAACACCGGUGGCGAAGGCGGGUCUCUGGGCCGAUACUGACGCUGAGAAGCGAAAGCGUGGGGAGCGAACAGG
rnacentral:rRNA from 1 species